AGCCGAUGAAGGUGUGUUGAGAAGCAUGCUGGAGGUAUCAGAAGUGCGAAUGCUGACGUGAGUAACGACAAAACGGGUGAAAAACCCGUUCGCCGAAAGACCAAGGGUUCCAGUCCAACGUUAAUCGGGGCUGGGUGAGUCGACCCCUAAGGCGAGGCCGAAAGGCGUAGUCGAUGGGAAAAUGGUUAAUAUUCCAUUACUUCUGUGUAAUGCGAUGAGAGGACGGAGAAGGCUAAAUCAGCCUGGCGUUGGUUGUCCAGGUGAAAGGAUGUAGGCAUGUAUCUUAGGCAAAUCCGGGGUACUCUAUGCUGAGAUCUGAUAGCAAGCUGUACUUGUACAGCGAAGUGGUUGAUGCCAUGCUUCCAGGAAAAGUCUCUAAGCUUCAGUUACACAGGAAUCGUACCCGAAACCGACACAGGUGGUCAGGUCGAGUAGACCAAGGCGCUUGAGAGAACUCUGCUGAAGGAACUAGGCAAAAUGGUACCGUAACUUCGGGAGAAGGUACGCUGUUGUUGGUGAUGGAACUCGCUUCCUGAGCUGACGACAGCCGCAGAAACCAGGCCGCUGCAACUGUUUAUUAAAAACAUAGCACUCUGCAAACACGAAAGUGGACGUAUAGGGUGUGAUGCCUGCCCGGUGCUGGAAGGUUAAUUGAUGGGGUUAGCGUAAGCGAAGCUCUUGAUCGAAGCCCCAGUAAACGGCGGCCGUAACUAUAACGGUCCUAAGGUAGCGAAAUUCCUUGUCGGGUAAGUUCCGACCUGCACGAAUGGCAUAAUGAUGGCGGCGCUGUCUCCAGCAGAGGCUCAGUGAAAUCGAAAUCGCUGUGAAGAUGCAGUGUACCCGCGGCUAGACGGAAAGACCCCGUGAACCUUUACUGCAGCUUGACACUGAACUUUGACCUUACUUGUGUAGGAUAGGUGGGAGGCUUUGAAGCUGGAACGCUAGUUCCAGUGGAGCCGUCCUUGAAAUACCACCCUGGUAAUGUUGAGGUUCUAACUCUGUCCCGUGAUCCGGGACGAGGACCGUGUCUGGUGGGUAGUUUGACUGGGGCGGUCUCCUCCUAAAGAGUAACGGAGGAGUACGAAGGUGCGCUCAGCGUGGUCGGAAAUCACGCGUAGAGUAUAAAGGCAAAAGCGCGCUUAACUGCGAGACCCACAAGUCGAGCAGGUACGAAAGUAGGUCUUAGUGAUCCGGUGGUUCUGUAUGGAAGGGCCAUCGCUCAACGGAUAAAAGGUACUCUGGGGAUAACAGGCUGAUACCGCCCAAGAGUUCAUAUCGACGGCGGUGUUUGGCACCUCGAUGUCGGCUCAUCUCAUCCUGGGGCUGAAGCAGGUCCCAAGGGUAUGGCUGUUCGCCAUUUAAAGAGGUACGCGAGCUGGGUUUAGAACGUCGUGAGACAGUUCGGUCCCUAUCUACCGUGGGCGCUGGAAAUUUGAGAGGAUCUGCUCCUAGUACGAGAGGACCAGAGUGGACGAACCUCUGGUGUACCGGUUGUGACGCCAGUCGCAUCGCCGGGUAGCUAUGUUCGGAAGGGAUAACCGCUGAAAGCAUCUAAGCGGGAAGCCUACCUCAAGAUAAGAUUUCCCUAGGACUUUAUGUCCUCUAAAGAGCCGUUCGAGACUAGGACGUUGAUAGGUUGGAUGUGGAAGCAUAGUGAUAUGUGAAGCUGACCAAUACUAAUUGCUCGUGAGGCUUGACUAU
rnacentral:rRNA from 1 species